rnacentral:rRNA from 1 species
UAGUCGAAAUACUUGGAAAAGUAUGUCAAAGAGGGUAAAAACCCCGUAGAUGAAAUCUGGCUCACACCUAGGAGGAUCCUGAGUACGGCGGAACACGAGGAAUUCCGUCGGAAUCCGGGAGGACCAUCUCCCAAGGCUAAAUACUCCCUAGUGACCGAUAGUGAACCAGUACCGUGAGGGAAAGGUGAAAAGCACCCCGGAAGGGGAGUGAAAUAGAUCCUGAAACCGUGUGCCUACAACAAGUUAGAGCCCGUUAAUGGGUGAUAGCGUGCCUUUUGUAGAAUGAACCGGCGAGUUACGAUAGCAUGCGAGGUUAAGUUGAAGAGACGGAGCCGCAGCGAAAGCGAGUCUGAAUAGGGCGAAUGAGUAUGUUGUCGUAGACCCGAAACCAUGUGAUCUACCCAUGUCCAGGUUGAAGGUGCGGUAAAACGCACUGGAGGACCGAACCCACGUACGUUGAAAAGUGCGGGGAUGAGGUGUGGGUAGCGGAGAAAUUCCAAACGAACUUGGAGAUAGCUGGUUCUCUCCGAAAUAGCUUUA